rnacentral:lncRNA from 1 species
UCUGAGCUGAGCAAAGCCGAUGCACGCAGGAGGAGUCAGUCCUAAGAGGAGCUAGGGAAAACGUCCCCAGCAGAAGGAUCAGCAGGUUGAGAUAUGUGGAAGGAGGCGCUGGCCUUUCCCCAAGACCUGACGAAGGAACCGGACUCAGCCAGGUGAGAAGAGGUCCACUCAGCUCAUUGGAAGGAUAAGGGACCUGCAAAACGGGGGACUGACUCCUCACUCCCUGGCCAGUGCUCGCUGAGCUGUGGAGAUUCUAGCCUGGCACCUGGAACAAAGUGCGGGGCCAGAACACCUGGAGGGAGUGCUUGAGAGAAAUUGAUGUGUUGUCUGGGGUUCGGAGCACGCAUGAACACAUGAACAUAGAGACUAGUGCCUGAUACCUGCCUGGAGAACCGUGAAGGCAAGAGGCUGGCUGGAGCAGCCUUCCAUUCCAGGGCGAGGAGAGAGGGCAUCACGAAGGCAGCUUCGACUCCUAGGAUUUGGUGUUGUAAAGAUGCACUGAGUGCCAUGUAAUUACGGAGGAAUAUAACUGAGCUCAAACUCUCCUCCAUGGGACCACACUCACGA